GGGGCCGUAGCUCAGCUGGCUAGAGCGCUGGCUUUGCAAGCCAGAGGUCACGGGUUCGACCCCCGUCGGCUCCA
rnacentral:tRNA from 1 species